rnacentral:lncRNA from 1 species
CCCGCCCCCCAACCGCAGGCUCCCGCGCGCCACCCCGAGGGGACGGGCGCCACCUCCUGCUACGCGGCACCCGGUCCCGUCAACCGCCCAACGGCUGAGGAGUGCGGCAGCGCGCCAGAGACUGGCGGGCAGCUCCGCCCGCGGCCGGGAUGCACUAGGCAAAGCCAGCUGGGCUCCUGAGUCCGGUGGGUACUUGGAGAACUUACUACGUCUAGCUGGAGGAUUGUAAAUGCACCAAUCAGCAUGCUGUGUCUAGCUCAAGAUUUUCUCCAUCCCCUUAUUUUGGGCCAGUGGCUGUCAUUACAUAUGAGAUGAGUCUCUUGAAGACUACAGAUGGGUGAAGGAGCAAUGCUUUUGGUUACUCAGUAUUCUCUCAAGAAAAUUUAAAGAUAGUUUAUACACAGAAGAUAUUUUAACAGGUUAUAUUCUGAACUUGUGGCCCGGAUUUGGAAAAAGCAAUAUCAAGUAUGGUUCAAGGGGACAAGAAAGAGAGAAGCAUUUGUUACCAUUUUUCCAAGUCAAAAAUAUUUAAUCAGAUAAUAUUUUAAAAGCCAGCAAUAAUUAGUAAUGAUUGGUAUAAUGUUUUUGUCAAAAUUAUUAAAUAGGAGAUAAAAUUAAAAGCUUUAUUUUUUUGCAUUCAAAUAAAAUUUUAAGUAUUUUGAUGAGCUUAUUAAAUCAACAAUGCAUGUAUUACAUUGAACCUGACUUCUUAAUAAGUUGCAACCAAAUCUUUAAUGAUAAGUUUAGGUCAGAGAGAUAAUUUUGAGAUUUGUCACCAUAAAGAUAGGGUAUAAUGUGAUGUAAAUAAUUAAGAUCAGGUGGAAAGACAAAUAAGAUUGAAGGAAGACCCAAGACCAAGGUUUGGGGCACUCUCAGAAGUUCUAAAAAAAAAAUUUAGACUAUGAGUAAAGAAGGAUUGAUCAGCAAGGUGAAAUGGAUCAAGGAAAUGUGGGCACUCAGAGGUACAGAGGGGUUAAUUGCUGCUCAGAAAAUACUCAGACGAAUGCUGAACAGUAGAUUAGAUAGAACCGAUGUCCUAGAAAUCAUGAAGAUAAGUGACUUUAUUAAAAUACAUAUUAUAAACAAAGAAGGAAUUUACUGUUCGAAAAGUUGUCUUGAAGAAUUGUUUUGGGAGAAAAUAAAAAAUAAACCUUAUUUUCUAAAAUACACUAAAACUAAUUCCAAAUGAGUCAAAGGAUUGUGUACAGAUAUUUUAAAUUAAUAAAACAAUGUUAGUGCAGAUUCUCUUUAAUUACUUCCCUGAUUGUUUUACCUAUAGUAACUCAUUUAAUUCUACUAGCAAUCUUUUCAUGUUGGAUACAGCUAUUCAAAUUUUCUUUUGUUAUUGCAAUAGCCUCCUAACCAUUCUUCCACAAAAUUGAGGCACUAAAAGGUUGUGAAAUUUCCUCUAUGCCACAGAGCUUUUUAGUGAUGAUUUGGCAUUUGGAAGCACAUCUUUGAAAUGUUCAUUUUUCUCUGAUGGCCAGUGAUGGUGAGCAUUUCUUCAUGUGUUUUUUGGCU